CUUAUUAUGAAUGUGGUACUUAGUAUAAAAGAUGGGGGUGUAAGUCACUGUUUGAAGGCUUAAAAGCUGCCAAGCAAUUAGAUUUGCAAGUCAAAAUAGCAUUAAGCAUUAAGAAGACGUCAAAGGAUAUGUUAAGCUAUCAUUAAGCUCAUCACGGAUUCAAAGUGGUGUUAAUAGUUUGCUGCUGUCACAUGAAAGUUGACCUCCCAUGAGGUAUGCCCAACUUGGCGAAGUUGGUCAUUCGAGACAGAACUUCUUUAGUUUUUCUAUUUGUGGAGUCGCUCUUUACAGGGUGAAGAGCAGAGUUUCUUGAUUCACCCUCUUUUAUUCCUCUUCCCCUUUCGACAUUUUGAUUCCAGAUUGAGAUUUUCAUGGA